rnacentral:lncRNA from 1 species
UCCUUUUCCUUUCACGUCUGUUAUGCUGACAGAUUGUAGUCUACUUUGGAAUUCGUUCAAAGGGCACUUUUGGUAUUAACCCAGACCAUGGAAGCAAGGCUGAGAAAAAAAGCAAGGAAAGAGAACCCAAAAAUAUUCAGUUUGACGAAAAAAUCAUGGAUUCUGAAUGGAAUGUUUACAGGAUGAUGGUGAAACAAAAAAAGUGAAGCACUAGGGUGGACCUAACAAGGAGUUGGAAGAAAACCUAAUGUUCAACUG